AAUUGGUACCGGUAACUUUGGGGAGGAGGGUUGGGUUCCCAUUUUGGGGAGAAGAACUGGUUCUUCUAAGCGGACGGGGAAGCCGCAGUGGACCCAGGUGGCGGGGAACUGUUUAUUUAAAAACACAGCCACUGUGCAAAUUCGCAAGAUGACGUAUACGGUGUGACACCUGCCCGGUGCCGGAAGGUUAAUUGAUGGGGUUAUCCUUAGGGAGAAGCUCUUGAUCGAAGCCCCGGUAAACGGCGGCCGUAACUAUAACGGUCCUAAGGUAGCGAAAUUCCUUGUCGGGUAAGUUCCGACCUGCACGAAUGGUGUAACCAUGGCCACGCUGUCUCCACCCGAGACUCAGUGAAAUUGAAAUCGCAGUGAAGAUGCUGUGUACCCGCGGCUAGACGGAAAGACCCCGUGAACCUUUACUACAGCUUGGCACUGAACAUUGAACCUACAUGUGUAGGAUAGGUGGGAGACUUUGAAGAUGAGACGCUAGUUUUGUUGGAGUCAACCUUGAAAUACCACCCUUGUAGUUUUGAUGUUCUAACGUUGGCCCCUGAAUCGGGGUUACGGACAGUGCCUGGUGGGUAGUUUGACUGGGGCGGUCUCCUCCUAAAGAGUAACGGAGGAGCACGAAGGUUGGCUAAGUACGGUCGGACAUCGUACGGUUAGUGUAAUGGUAGAAGCCAGCUUAACUGCGAGACAGACACGUCGAGCAGGUACGAAAGUAGGUCAUAGUGAUCCGGUGGUUCUGAAUGGAAGGGCCAUCGCUCAACGGAUAAAAGGUACUCCGGGGAUAACAGGCUGAUACCGCCCAAGAGUUCAUAUCGACGGCGGUGUUUGGCACCUCGAUGUCGGCUCAUCACAUCCUGGGGCUGAAGUCGGUCCCAAGGGUAUGGCUGUUCGCCAUUUAAAGUGGUACGCGAGCUGGGUUUAGAACGUCGUGAGACAGUUCGGUCCCUAUCUGCCGUGGGCGUUUGAGAAUUGAGAGGGGUUGCUCCANUACAGAGAGCCAAUCUGUCAUGG
rnacentral:rRNA from 1 species